AGAGUUUGAUCCUGGCUCAGGAUGAACGCUGGCGGUCUGCUUAACACAUGCAAGUCGAACGGGCUCUUCGGAGCUAGUGGCGGACGGGUGAGUAACGCGUGAGAAUCUGCCUUCAGGAGGGGGAUAACGACUGGAAACGGUCGCUAAUACCCCAUAUGCCUCUGGGUGAAAAGUAAUUCGCCUGAAGAUGAGCUCGCGUCAGAUUAGCUAGUUGGUGGGGUAAGAGCCUACCAAGGCGACGAUCUGUAGCUGGUCUGAGAGGAUGAUCAGCCACACUGGGACUGAGACACGGCCCAGACUCCUACGGGAGGCAGCAGUGGGGAAUUUUCCGCAAUGGGCGCAAGCCUGACGGAGCAAGACCGCGUGGGGGAUGACGGCCUAAUGGUUGUAAACCCCUUUUCUCUGGGAAGAAGACUGACGGUACCAGAGGAAUCAGCCUCGGCUAACUCCGUGCCAGCAGCCGCGGUAAUACGGAGGAGGCAAGCGUUAUCCGGAAUUAUUGGGCGUAAAGCGUCCGUAGGUGGUUAUUCAAGUCUGCUGUCAAAGCGUGGGGCUUAACUCCAUAGAGGCAGUGGAAACUGAGUGACUAGAGUGCGGUAGGGGUCGAGGGAAUUCCCAGUGUAGCGGUGAAAUGCGUAGAUAUUGGGAAGAACACCAGUGGCGAAAGCGCUCGACUGGGCCUGCACUGACACUGAGGGAC
rnacentral:rRNA from 1 species